CCAACAGACGAGGAAACUGAGGCCCACCACAGUUCAGGAACCGGCCCAAGGUGCCAUGGCUGGUACGCGGAAGCCCUGGGACCACAGCCCAGGAGCCCCGGGACGCUGUGGUUCUCACUGUAAAUUCUCGGCUGAACCUCCAGGGGGCCCACUGCCACAUGUUCCUGGUCCACUCAGCCUCCCUCUCUCCUAGAAUCCUUUUCCUCUCUCAAAUCCUUACCACUUCCUCCCAUCCUUAUGCUGGGCGUCUUGCUUCCUACUUAACAGUCAGCAGAAGCAGCUGGAAUAGAGCCUUCCGGGCUGCCCCCAAACCCUGCGCUGACUUCGUCUGUGCACAGAUUCUGCCCUCCCCCCACCACAGCGGACGGGCCCUUGGUCGGAGGCCGUCCCUUCCCCACAAGGGGACACCAUCCAGCAAACCUCCCUUCUGUCUCCUGCAUCAUUCAUUUUCCUUCAAUACUGGAUCAUUCCCACUCCAGCAAAACUACUUUUUUUAAGGUCACCCAGUGGUCUCCACAGAAAGGCGUUCCUAGCAUAUUUCACACCCAAGCAGACCAUUUUUAACGCUCCCCCCUCCGUACAGCACAGUUAUAUUCAGUAAGAAUCAUUGUUUUCUUCAUUCGUUCUCUAGUUUUAAAGCAAUUAAAAAAGAGUAAAUUUCCAUUGCAAAACUAUUCAAAUUCAGUAUAUUUCAUGACUAAAAUGUGCACUUAUCGAACCAAAAUAUUACACCUUGCAAUUUACACUCUAUUGUACUGCUCUAAAUUUUAAACACAAAUAAAAACUUCAAUUGGUCACACAAAAAUGACAGAUUGAAGUAACUCAAGUUCUAUUUAGAAAAGCGUACAUUUCUAAGUCAAUGCAGAUUUAUUUUGACACUCUCUGCCAUUCUCCGAGCUUGGGAGAACUUUCUGCAGCCGCUGCCAAAAAAUUGCAAAAAAAGCAGCAAAAAGCUCCCAAAUGCAGGCGCUGAGUUUGCUUGCUACAUCAUGGAAAGUGGCCUAGGAAUGUGCCCAAUCGUUUGGCUGAAGCUCUCCGACAAGGCUUAGGCCUGGGACGCCAGCUUGUGGCGUGGAUUUUCCCACGCUUCCCUUCUGAGGUCUCGGCAGACAUGACUAUUCAGUCAUGGCCUGCGUGUGAGCCCUGAAGUGUCCAUGAUUCACCAGGCAGCUACUGUCGAUUAACAGAGUUGGCAUGUGAAAUGACAUUUAUUUGUCAUCUCCAGUUUAAAAAUAGUUCAGUGUAUACAUUUUUAUCCCAUGCCAAAUUCUGAAGCUCUAGUCUGUAAAGUAUCUGAAGAGUCAAGAGUCUUAGACGGGUCGAGGUAAGGGGAGAGGACAGCCCCCACAGAGAUGGCUCACAGCACUGGGGUUCCCCAGAGGAGACCCCCCCAGUCAUCCUCAAUUCUGCAGAACGAGACUCUCCCCUGAGUUCAAAAUCUCUGCUCUAAUUGUCAUCUCUUCCUGCAUCUCCCAAAGGCUUCCCUUACUCAGCGUGCCCAGACCAAAUUCCUGUUCUUCCCUCUGAACACUGGCUUCUCUCUCUCAGUCUCCUCAGCAAAUGGCCCCACCGCCCACCCACUGCCUGAGCCGGAGAACCCUGGAGCCAGGCUGAGCAUCAUACUCUCUUCCAAUUCAUCACUAACACCCUUGAUUUUCUCCCUAGCCUCUCUUCCACUGUCCAUUUCUCUCUAGACCACAACCAUAGGAGGAAUGACAAUCUGAAUUAGCAUAUUAAAGGCUCUGAGAAGUCCUGCACAGAAGAACUUGGUUAACUCAGGCUUUCCAAAUCAUGUUUGACCCAGGAACACUUGAUCUCUGCACCACAUCUCCCAAGGCUGUGCCACGGAAUAUUCUUUGGGAGACAUCCCCUGACUUUUCUUUGGAGAGGUCUGUAGCAUUUCCACUCUGUCUUGAUCAGGAGCGGGGCCACCCCACUGCGGGUGCCAAGACUGUGUCACCUGGCCUUGGCAAGUUUCCUUUGCCCCCUGUCCCUUCCCUCUCUCAUGGAAGGAACGACUUCACUCAACCCGCUGCAUGGGGCAUCUUCCGGGGCCACUUGCUAUGACGAAUGUGCGCAACAUCAAGGGUUUGGGAGCUUUCGUGGUUUUUCAUCAACAGCUUUUCAGCAGUGGCAGCGGGAAGUUCUCCUCAAGCUCACAGAGGGCAGGUCUGAGAGCUUUUCUGGGGCAGCACAAGCAGCGGUGUGCAGCUGAACAGAGGCCGUGUGCGCUUCCAGGCUCCUGGCACACCUGUCGGGCCGUCUCUUCAGACGCUUCUGCCUACAUUUUCUUUCCCUUCCUGCCUACGUUGCCUUUCCUGUAGGGGCACAUUUAAUAAGGCACACGCCCACCCCUGGCCAGGGAGGUGUCCCUGUCAUCACCACAUUCUUCCCUCUGCUGUGGGAACGUUUCGGUGUUCCAAUCUCUAAAUAUGCUCACUCAUGCAGCGACUUUUAACCAGCGUGUUCUUUCAGGUUUCUAUUUACACGCACAUUCAUUUAUUCAGCCCGUUUUUCCUGUGCUAGACACUAUCGCAGACGCUGGGGAUGCAGUGGUGAACAAAAUCAUCAAAACCCCUGCAUGCUAGGAACUAAGAGGAAGCGGACGAUAAACAGAUAAAUGAAACGAUCAACAGGAAAACCACAGCUGCAUGGUGGCAUGUGAGCAAACGCGAGACAGGACUCUUCAACGUACACAGAGAAAGAAUCAGAAAGUGCUGCUUGGAGACAGACUUUUCCUAACUGGCGACGAGAUGGCUUUGAGAGACACAGGAAUGGACAGAGGCGUGAAUCUCCUCACUCCCAAAGAGGAGGGGAGACUGCAGUGCAGACGUCCUCCUGCGCCACCAGGGCCGGAAGACGGCCUACCUCAUGGCGCCUGAGCCGUCCACACAGCCUGGCACUGCUUUCCAACGAAGGCAGCCACCCGGUCACGGAAAAACGGCAAACUCCAGGAAAACACGGUGCCGGGGGCAAUCUGGAGACCUCAAGGGCCCCGUGUGUGGAGAUGAGGGCUGGUCCAGUGAGAUGGAUGUUUUCUAAAACUUUUUCAGUGCAAAUGGAUUUGAAUCGUGACCAUUCCCUCCAGGUUUACCUUCUUUGGGUAGAUUUUCCUGACCAUCCCAGCCCUCGACACCAGCUGCCUUCUCUAAAAUCCAGGCCCUCUCUGUCUAGCUGCUAUUUGUCCCUUCCUUUAUAUCACUCCCAGUGAUGCCUGUGGUACCCAUCUCCCCUCUCACUCGUGCUCGGCGGCGCGGGUGGGGAGCCGACCUCUCGUGCUUCCCUCGGAACCACCUGGGAUCUAGUUACGGUGCAGAAUCGAAUUCACCAGGUCUGGGGUGGGGCCUGGGGCUCUGCAUUGCUACCAAGCUCCCAGGCAAAGCCCUGGGGCUGGUUGGCACCUAUGCUUUGAGUGGUGAGAGGGAGAAGGAGAUUGAGUGUGACUUCACUAGGCUCAAACUCUGCUCUGCCCUUGACUGACUAUGCAGCCUAACCUCUUUAAGCCUCAGUUUUCUUGACUUAAAAUGGGCAUAAGUACACAGUACAUUUGUGGACAAUGGCUAUCAUCCACAGUGUUCUGUAUUCUCUUAUGAGAUGGUCAGUCAGCUGUGGCCACAAGAGACAGACGAGAGGCUCAGGACAACAAUGUUUAUGAUGAUCACAGGUCAGGAGACGGGGGCAGGGCAUGUCAUGCCACGCAGGGCCACGAGGGGAGGACACCAGGGUGGUCAGCAGGCAGAAGACGAACAAGGGGAAAGUUUAGGCCAGAAGCUUUACUGGAGUUUCCACGGAAGGACAAGGCAGGGCGGGGCGAACAUCAUAGGAUUGGCUGGUUUGAAUAAUUUCAAUGGGCUUUGGACCAUAGGGGUGUCUCUAGUUGCCUGGUGCCUGGUGGGACUGAUUAAGGCUGAAGAAUAUCACCCUCUUGGCUGGGCCGGCCAGAGAGAGGAGGUCUGGCCCCGGAUGAGUUGGUUUGCAUUUCAAGGGCCCGCCCUGGCUGGCCUUGUGCUGCCUCUAAGAACCCGUUAGCCCUCAAAGGGGCAGCCUCUCCCCAGCUAGAAUGAUGUCAGAGCAUGGCAAUAUACAGAAAGUAAAAUAUAUACAACGCACACAUAAAGGGAACCUCUAGUUUAUGAGUUCUUCACGGCUUUCCCUGCUCCCUUUUAUCACGUUCAUACCGAAAACCGAUCUGCCCUCUUCUGACCCCGCACGGAAGCCGCACGCAGGGCCCCUCGGGCGGCUGGGCCGAUGUGAUGGAUGCACAUGUGGUGCACACUGCCUGGCACACAGUACUCCAUACGUGGCUGCAGUGGCUGUUUAUUUUUCUUCUUCUUGCUCACAGCUUUCCCAAAGCCCUCAUAAUCGGCACCGCUAUUAAUUUCCGGAGCAAACUGCCGAGGAACGGUGUGUGCGGCCUCUGAGGGCGAAGCAGAUGUCUGGCACAAUCUGUCUUCCUUCUGAGGAGCGCAAGCCGAACACGGGCCUCCUCACCCCUCGCUUGUAUCCUCACCCUGAGUUGACCGGGCAAGAGCCUCCGCUGAGAGCAACAAAUUACAGCGAUCUCUGCACAGGCGGCUGGAGCUCGCCUUCCCGGGGCUUAUAAACCAACUCGCGACCGAAACUGCGGAGAAAUCUCUGCAUGUCAGAUAUCGUCUCCUAAUUGAUAAGAAAGUGCUCAGAAAUAGAACUGUCAUCCCACAAAUCCUGGAACUAAUUGCCUUACACGAGGCAGGCUGCUGACUGUGAGCGGCGGUUCCCAGGGAAACGAGGCCCGCGCGCUGCUGGCUGACACCGGGCUCGGGAGCCGGGACCCUGCGGCGGGCGUGCGGCGGGGGCGGUGCUGGCGACGUCGUUUCGGGCUUUCUCGCUUCCGCUUGAAGGGCAAAGGCCUCAACCAGAGACUAAACAGACGCUCAGCCAACCAUCAAAAAUUAAUCCGCGUCUGCACUUGCCCAGCACCUCUAGACGCCUGCCUGGACGUUGCACGGGUCUCAAACGCGGGGGCGUUCAAACUCCUAAACCACAAAGUUUGAACAGUAGUUAACCCUUUAGUCAUGAGUGGUUAAGUUUUUCUUUGCUGUAUUUUGGUUAUUCCUUCAUUUUCUUCCAUGGACAUGUCACUUUAUCUUUUAGAUAUUACAAAACAUUUCAGCCUACAAAAAUGACAGCGAUUAUUAAAAUGAGCACUCAUGUACAUUAUCCAGAUCUGGUUUUACAUUUAUAAUCAGAAACAACCAUAGUAAUGACAACAAAAUCCUUAAAUUCCUGCUCAUUUUCUCCUAAUCUGUCUUCCUGACUUCCAGUUUCUGACGUGGGCAGCACUGCAAUUUAGGCAAUCAACAUGAAAGGCUUGGAACUGACUGAAGGUUACCUGUUCUUUAACCGACAAGUCCAGUUGAUGGCACCUCCACGUUUCUCGAAAAAAAUUUCCUUUUUUCGUUUCCUUUGCCACUUCGUUUCAGUAGCCUCGAUCACCGUUUUCUUCCUCAUUCUCAUCAUUUCUGGAUCCACAGUUUUAGCACCUGGAAGCAAUCGUUACACUGUCCCCUUGCUUCGUUGCAAUUGGAGAAAUCAGCCGUCAGCCUCACUGUCAUUCCUUUGUGUGUAAUCUGUUUUUUUCUCUCUCUCUGAAUGACUUUAAGGUCUUUUAUCUUUGGUAUUUCUGGGUUAUGCUCAGACGCAGAUGUCUUUUUAAAUACCCUACUUGACAUUGGUUAGGCUUUCUGAAGCUGAGGAAGUUAGUUUUCCCUUCAUUUCUAGAAAUUCCCAACUGUUGUGCCAUCAGAUUUUGUUUCUUUCUCAUUCUUUAUUUUUCUUCUUUCUGCCACCUUAGUUAGACAUUCGAGGGAAAUUCUCACUUUAGUCUCUGGUCUCCUAACCUCUCUUAUUUUACAUUUCAUCGUCUCUCAGUUGUACCUUCUGGGUGGUUUCUUCAGGUGUUUCUUCCAGUUGACAAAUUCUUUCUUUUGCUGAGUCUGUUUUGCUACUUAAAUCUGUCCAGAGAGUUUUCAGUUAUUACUUUUUUCAUCCACACAUUCCUGGCACAGAGCUUUAAAACCCCUUGGAAUUUCUGAUAAGAGUGUCUUUGUUAUGCUAAUGAGGCAACUCACGGGAGGUCCCCAGGCAGCUGCAGGAUGGGGACUGGUCACCAGGAAGACCAAGCAUGUGAUUAGAGGGUAGGACUUUCA